UUAAUAUGUUUAUAUUUCUU
rnacentral:tRNA from 1 species